UACGUAGGUGGCAAGCGUUGUCCGGAUUUAUUGGGUUUAAAGGGUGCGUAGGCGGCCCUGUAAGUCAGUUGUGAAAUACGGCAGCUUAACUGUCGAGGUGCAAUUGAUACUGCAGGGCUUGAGUACUGAUGAGGUAGGCGGAAUGGACGGUGUAGCGGUGAAAUUCGUAGAUAUUCGGAAGAACACCAGUGGCGAAGGCGGCUCACUGGUCCGGUACUGACGCUGAGGUGCGAAAGCGUGGGGAGCAAACAGG
rnacentral:rRNA from 1 species